rnacentral:lncRNA from 1 species
CCACUGAACGCAUGCAGGAUGGCUCCAGGUAAAAGCCAGAAUUAGAAAGUGCCCAUGAGCAGCGUGUGUCAAGAAUAUGAACGUGAGAUGUCAUUUUGGCUGCGUCUAAUUGAAGCCAGGAUAAAUGGAGUGGAAAGGCAGCGUCUAAUCCAAUCAAAACAUGAAAAAGCAGGCGAAAAGCUUCAAGAUCACCUGGCCAGGCCCCUGGAUUUACGGGUGAGAAAAAUGACAGCAACCAGGUAAAAAGAUUUCUCCAGGUCUCUCUGUUCCUUGGAGGCAGAAACAGAACUAUAUUCCCCAGGGCACCAACCAGGGGACACCAGGAUCCUGGCAGCCCCUACCCCAGAGCCCCAGGGGUGACAUUCUAGAGCCAAUGCAUUGUCUUUGGGGCCACCGAUGGAGCAGAAGUGAGGUGUCUCUGAGGAAGUCACUGAAGGCUGGGCCAGGGGAGCAACAUAUCACGGAGCAGCGCAUAAAACUGAAAGUCACCAUUGAACAGUGUUGGCUUCUUCUAAGAGGCCCCUGAUUUCUUAAAAUGCUUUCUUCAAAAGACCAUCUUUUGUUAAAGGGUUUAUUCACACUUAGAGUGGUAGAGUGGAGCAAGAAUAGGAAUUGGGUUCAGAAAGACAGAAGUUCUCAUCUUGGAUGUGCUACAUUCUAGUUCUUGACCUUGGGCACAUCACUGGGCCUGCCUUGCUCGGCCUCAGGAUGCUCACCUGUAGAACAGAGGUAAUAAUUCCUUAUCUGCUCUUGGGACAAAUGCAAGCAGACUUCAUUCCCUGGACAUAGAGCACUUUAAAAACGAAAUAGCCACAACUAGAAUAUGAAAUUUAAAGUCAAGAACUCUGGAUCCGUGUCCCUGUUCUACCACUCAGUAGCCCUCUGAACUCAAUCUCCCCUUCUUUUUUUAAAUUUUAUUGUUUUUUAUUUUAUUGCGGUCAUAAUAGUUUAUAACAUUGUGCAAUUUUGGUU